GUGGUAUGUAGAGCACAUGUUAUGGUUAUCAAAGUGGUUUACUGUAAGGCUGAGGGCUAUGCAUUCUAUGGCUAUGUUGUUGUCUCUUAUUUUUCCAAACGUGGAAACCUCUGUUUUGUAACUUGUAGUAAUAAGGUAGAAAUUAAAAAGAAAAAGUAUUUUCCUGUACUUGCUUGGCUGCAAGGUCAGGAACAGAUA
rnacentral:lncRNA from 1 species